GACGAACGCUGGCGGCGUGCCUAAUACAUGCAAGUAGAACGCUGAAGGAGGAGCUUGCUCUUCUGGAUGAGUUGCGAACGGGUGAGUAACGCGUAGGUAACCUGCCUGGUAGCGGGGGAUAACUAUUGGAAACGAUAGCUAAUACCGCAUAACAGUAGAUGUUGCAUGACAUUUACUUAAAAGGUGCAAUUGCAUCACUACCAGAUGGACCCGCGUUGUAUUAGCUAGUUGGUGGGGUAACGGCUCACCAAGGCGACGAUACAUAGCCGACCGGAGAGGGGGGUAGGCCCAGCUGGGACUGGAGCACGGCCCAGAAUCCUGCGGGAGGCAGCCGGCGGGGAUCUUCGGGGAUGGCCGGAAGGCUGACCGAGCAACGCCGGGUGAGUGCAGGAGGUUUUCGGGUCGUGAAGCUCUGUUGUGAGAGAAGAACGAGUGUGAGAGUGGCAAGUUCACACUGUGACGGUAUCUUAACAGAAAGCGACGGCUAACUACGUG
rnacentral:rRNA from 1 species